rnacentral:rRNA from 1 species
ACGCUGGCGGCAUGCCUAACACAUGCAAGUCGAACGAGAAAGUUCCUUCGGGAGCGAUUAAAGUGGCGCACGGGUGAGUAACGCGUAGACAAUCUGCCCUUCAGUCUGGGACAACUUUUCGAAAGGAGAGCUAAUACCGGAUGACAAUGUAACACAUAAGUGUCACAUUUGAAAGCUCCGGCGCUGAAGGAGGGGUCUGCGUCCCAUUAGCUAGUUGGUAAGGUAAAGGCUUACCAAGGCGACGAUGGGUAGCGGGUUUGAGAGGACGAUCCGCCACACUGGAACUGAGACACGGUCCAGACUCCUACGGGAGGCAGCAGUGGGGAAUAUUGCACAAUGGAGGCAACUCUGAUGCAGCAAUGUCGCGUGAGUGAAGAAGGCCCUUGGGUCGUAAAGCUCUUUUAUGGGGGAAGAUGAUGACGGUACCCCAAGAAUAAGCACCGGCUAACUACGUGCCAGCAGCCGCGGUAAUACGUAGGGUGCGAGCGUUGUUCGGAAUUACUGGGCGUAAAGGGCGCGCAGGCGGAAUAGCAAGUCGGAGGUGAAAGCCCGGGGCUCAACCCCGGAGGGUCUUUCGAAACUGCUAAUCUAGAGAGGGUCAGGGGCCAGCAGAAUUCUUGGUGUAGAGGUGAAAUUCGUAGAUAUCAAGAGGAAUACCGGUGGCGAAAGCGGCUGGCUGGGGCCACUCUGACGCUGAGGCGCGAAAGCGUGGGGAGCAAACAGGAUUAGAUACCCUGGUAGUCCACGCCGUAAACGAUGAGCACUGGAUGUCCGGAGGGUUCGACCCUUCUGGGUGUCUCAGCUAACGCAUUAAGUGCUCCGCCUGGGGAGUACGGUCGCA